UACGUAGGGGGCAAGCGUUGUCCGGAUUUAUUGGGCGUAAAGAGCGUGUAGGCGGCCAGACAAGUCUGCUGUGAAAACUCGAGGCUCAACCUCGAGCUGUCGGUGGAAACUGUCUGGCUAGAGUCCGGAAGAGGAGAGUGGAAUUCCUGGUGUAGCGGUGAAAUGCGCAGAUAUCAGGAAGAACACCUAUGGCGAAGGCAGCUCUCUGGGACGGUACUGACGCUGAGACGCGAAAGCGUGGGGAGUGAACAGG
rnacentral:rRNA from 1 species